CCUACGGGAGGCAGCAGUAGGGAAUCUUCCACAAUGGACGAAAGUCUGAUGGAGCAACGCCGCGUGGGUGAAGAAGGUUUUCGGCUCGUAAAGCUCUGUUGGUAGUGAAGAAAGAUAGAGCUAGUAAGUGGCCUUUAUUUGACGGUAAGUACUUGGAACGGCACAGCUAACUCCAUGCCAGCAGCCGCGGUAAGACGUAGGUGGCAAGCGUGGUCCGGAUUUAUUGGGAGGAAAGCGAGUGGAGGCGGUGCAAUAAGUCUGAUGGUAAGGCCUUCGGCUCAACCGGAGAAUUGCAUCAGAAACUGUUGAACUUGAGUGCAGAAGAGGAGAGUGGAACGCCAUGUGUAGCGGUGGAAUGCGUAGAUAUAGGGCAGAACACCAGUGGCGAAGGCGGCUCUCCGGUCGGGAACUGACGCUGAGGCUCGAAAGCAUGGGUAUCGAACAGGAUUAGAUACCCCUGUAGUC
rnacentral:rRNA from 1 species